AGCAGUCGCCGCGGUAACACGAAGGGGGCUAGCGUUGUUCGGAAUUACUGGGCGUAAAGCGCACGUAGGCGGAUAUUUAAGUCAGGGGUGAAAUCCCGCAGCUCAACUGCGGAACUGCCUUUGAUACUGGGUAUCUUGAGUAUGGAAGAGGUUAGUGGAAUUGCGAGUGUAGAGGUGAAAUUCGUAGAUAUUCGGAAGAACACCAGUGGCGAAGGCGACUGACUGGACAAGUAUUGACGCUGAGGUGCGAAAGCGUGGGGAGCAAACAGGAUUAGAUACCCCCGUAGUCCCUGUCUCUUAUAC
rnacentral:rRNA from 1 species